rnacentral:rRNA from 1 species
UACGAAGGGUGCAAGCGUUACUCGGAAUUACUGGGCGUAAAGCGUGCGUAGGUGGUUUGUUAAGUCUGUUGUGAAAGCCCCGGGCUCAACCUGGGAAUGGCAAUGGAUACUGGCAGGCUAGAGUGCGGUAGAGGGUAGUGGAAUUCCCGGUGUAGCGGUGAAAUGCGUAGAGAUCGGGAGGAACACCAGUGGCGAAGGCGGCUACCCGGACCAGCACUGACACUGAGGCACGAAAGCGUGGGGAGCAAACAGG